GCUUGGAUGGCUCAGUUGGUUAGAGCGCAGGUCUCAUACGGCUGUAUGACCGCACGAUGCGGGUAAUCCUGAGGUCGAGGGUUCGACCCCCUCUCCGAGCA